GAUGAACGCUGGCGGCAUGCCUAAUACAUGCAAGUCGAACGAGAGGAAGGAAAGCUUGCUUUUCUGAAUCUAGUGGCGAACGGGUGAGUAACACGUAGGUAACCUGCCCAUGUGCCCGGGAUAACUUCUGGAAACGGAUGCUAAAACCGGACCGGUAGCAGACAAGCAUUUGACUGCUAUUAAAGUGGCUAAGGCCAUGAACAUGGAUGGACCUGCGGUGCAUUAGCUAGUUGGUGAGGUAACGGCCCACCAAGGCGACGAUGCAUAGCCGGCCUGAGAGGGCGGACGGCCACAUUGGGACUGAGACACGGCCCAAACUCCUACGGGAGGCAGCAGUAGGGAAUUUUCGUCAAUGGGGGGAACCCUGAACGAGCAAUGCCGCGUGAGUGAGGAAGGUCUUCGGAUCGUAAAGCUCUGUUGUAAGAGAAAAACGACAUUCAUAGGGAAUGAUGAGUGAGUGAUGGUAUCUUACCAGAAAGUCACGGCUAACUACGUGCCAGCAGCCGCAGUAA
rnacentral:rRNA from 1 species